UCAGUGGGGCAAUUGACGGGACCAGAGGAGAAGACAGAACCAGACAGGUGCAAUCAGAUGUGUCACGCGGCCGUGGCGGCGUGGGCGUCAGCGCGGCGGCGGCGUGGGGGCCGCAAUAAGCACGUCACGGCCGAUCACGAUGAUGGAACACGAGCCGCGGAGCGUCGGCCCAGCGGAGGCUGUUUGCGUGUCUCCACGGUGAGCCCGUUACAGCUGUCGAGGCCGAGUAACGCAGGCGCAGGUGGCACCGACAGAUGCCACGCGCAGGAGAGGGAGCGGCCGAUCGAGCGCAGCUCCACGCUAAUCGGCCGCUGCAUCAGGGAUGGAUAGAGAGCCCUGGAGUCCGUUCUGCAUCCCAGAGAGUCCUGAGAGGACACAGCAAGAGACCAAAUGACGAAAUGAAAUGAAAACCACGCCAAGGCCGUGAUCAGGCUCUAAACAAACACAUGCUACCAGUGCCUGAGUCAGGAUGGAGAGAUGAGGACGGGGCAUCCCACUCACCCUCUGCACGGCCGGAGACACUGCUGCGCUGCUGUCAUGGCAACAGCAGCAGUCACCACCGCCAGCAUGGGCCUAUAAUGCACAGGCCAGGAGGAGUCACACACAAACACACACACACACACACACACACACACACACUGAAAGAUAAAACUACACAUACAAGCAAAAUACAGAUCCUGUGUGCAGAUUGUUGAUUGUUGUGUGACUACAUCUGCAGGAAGUUGUUGUCUUCCAAAAUAAAGCAUGAUAAUUAAAAUUAUUUUAUUAUUUAUUGUGUUUUCGGCUGAUAAAUAUAUUUGUUUUGCCGACAUUUUUAUUCGUCGGUGCAGGACUUUGAAAAAAAAAUGUUGUUAUG